GAUGAACGCUGGCGGCGUGCCUAAUACAUGCAAGUCGAGCGAACAGACGAGGAGCUUGCUCCUCUGACGUUAGCGGCGGACGGGUGAGUAACACGUGGAUAACCUACCUAUAAGACUGGGAUAACUUCGGGAAACCGGAGCUAAUACCGGAUAAUAUAUUGAACCGCAUGGUUCAAUAGUGAAAGACGGUUUUGCUGUCACUUAUAGAUGGAUCCGCGCCGCAUUAGCUAGUUGGUAAGGUAACGGCUUACCAAGGCAACGAUGCGUAGCCGACCUGAGAGGGUGAUCGGCUACACUGGAACUGAGACACGGUCCAGACUCCUACGGGAGGCAGCAGUAGGGAAUCUUACGCAAUGGGCGAAAGCCUGACGGAGCAACGCCGCGUGAGUGAUGAAGGUCUUCGGAUCGUAAAACUCUGUUAUUAGGGAAGAACAAAUGUGUAAGUAACUAUGCACGUCUUGACGGUACCUAAUCAGAAAGCCACGGCUAACUACGUG
rnacentral:rRNA from 1 species